UAGCGUAGGUGGCAAGCGAUACUCGGAAUCACUAGCGUAAAGCGCAGGUAGGUGGUUGGGUAAGUCUCUUGUGAAAGCUCCUGGCUUAACUGGGAGAGGUCAAGGGAAACUACCCGGCUAGAGUUUGGUAGGGGAUACUGGAAUUCCUGGUGUAGCGGUGAAAUGCGUAGAUAUCAGGAGGAAUACCUAUGGCGAAAGCAGGUAUCUGGGCCAUAACUGACACUGAGCUGCGAAAGCUAGGGGAGCAAACAGG
rnacentral:rRNA from 1 species